AGAGUUUGAUUCUGGCUCAGGAUGAACGCUAGCUACAGGCUUAACACAUGCAAGUCGAGGGGCAGCAUGGUCUUAGCUUGCUAAGACUGAUGGCGACCGGCGCACGGGUGAGUAACGCGUAUCCAACCUUCCCCAUAGUAGAGGAUAGCCCGGCGAAAGUCGGAUUAAUACUCUAUGUUGUAUAAUGAUGACAUCAGACUUAUACCAAAGAUUGAUCGCUAUGGGAUGGGGAUGCGUCUGAUUAGAUAGUAGGCGGGGUAACGGCCCACCUAGUCGACGAUCAGUAGGGGUUCUGAGAGGAAGGUCCCCCACAUUGGAACUGAGACACGGUCCAAACUCCUACGGGAGGCAGCAGUGAGGAAUAUUGGUCAAUGGACGGGAGUCUGAACCAGCCAAAAGUAGCGUGCAGGAUGACGGCCCUAUGGGUUGUAAACUGCUUUUAUACGGGGAUAAAGUGAGGGACGUGUCCCUUAUUGUAGGUACCGUAUGAAUAAGGACCGGCUAAUUCCGUGCCAGCCGCCGC
rnacentral:rRNA from 1 species